AGAGUUUGAUCCUGGCUCAGGAUGAACGCUAGCGACAGGCUUAACACAUGCAAGUCGAGGGGCAGCGGUGGUGAAGGCUUGCCUUUACCAGCCGGCGACCGGCGCACGGGUGAGUAACACGUAUGCAACCUGCCUGCCACAGCCGGAUAAUCGGGAGAAAUUCCGUCUAAUACGGCAUAAUGCAUCGACGGGACAUCCUGUUGGUGCCAAAGGUUGAUUCCGGUGGCGGAUGGGCAUGCGUCGCAUUAGUUAGUUGGCGGUGUAACGGACCACCAAGACGACGAUGCGUAGGGGUUCUGAGAGGAAGGUCCCCCACACUGGUACUGAGACACGGACCAGACUCCUACGGGAGGCAGCAGUGAGGAAUAUUGGUCAAUGGGCGGGAGCCUGAACCAGCCAAGUCGCGUGAGGGAUGACGGCCCUAUGGGUUGUAAACCUCUUUUGCCGGGGAGCAAAGUGCCGCACGUGUGCGGUUUGGAGAGUACCCGGAGAAAAAGCAUCGGCUAACUCCGUGCCAGCAGUCGCGGUAAUACGGAGGAUGCGAGCGUUAUCCGGAUUUAUUGGGUUUAAAGGGUGCGUAGGCGGACGCUUAAGUCAGCGGUAAAAUUGCGGGGCUCAACCUCGUCGAGCCGUUGAAACUGGGUGCCUUGAGUGGGCGAGAAGUACGCGGAAUGCGUGGUGUAGCGGUGAAAUGCAUAGAUAUCACGCAGAGCUCCGAUUGCGAAGGCAGCGUACCGGCGCCCAACUGACGCUGAAGCACGAAGGCGUGGGUAUCGAACAGGAUUAGAUACCCUGGUAGUCCACGCAGUAAACGAUGAAUGCUAGUUGUCCGGGGCGAUUGAGUUCUGGGUGACACAGCGAAAGCGUUAAGCAUUCCACCUGGGGAGUACGCCGGCAACGGUGAAACUCAAAGGAAUUGACGGGGGCCCGCACAAGCGGAGGAACAUGUGGCUUAAUUCGAUGAUACGCGAGGAACCUUACCCGGGCUCAAACGCAGGAGGGAUGUUUUUGAAAGGAGGCAGCCAGCAAUGGUCUCCUGCGAGGUGCUGCAUGGUUGUCGUCAGCUCGUGCCGUGAGGUGUCGGCUUAAGUGCCAUAACGAGCGCAACCCCUACCUACAGUUGCCAUCGCGUGAUGGCGGGCACUCUGUGGGGACUGCCUGCGCAAGCAGUGAGGAAGGCGGGGAUGACGUCAAAUCAGCACGGCCCUUACGUCCGGGGCGACACACGUGUUACAAUGGCAGGUACAGCGGGAAGCCACCCGGCGACGGGGCGCGGAACCCGAAAACCUGUCUCAGUUCGGAUUGGAGUCUGCAACCCGACUCCAUGAAGCUGGAUUCGCUAGUAAUCGCGCAUCAGCCACGGCGCGGUGAAUACGUUCGCGGGCCUUGCACACACCGCCCGUCA
rnacentral:rRNA from 1 species